UCUACACAGUAGAAUUAAUAUAGUUUGGCUUCAAGAGUUCAAUGCCAUGAAAGCUGUAGUUUUAUAUGCCUUUAGCCUUCACCCAUCUACGAAACCCAGAUAUCAUAACAUUGAGCAAUGAUGGUUAAAGUGGUGUCAGACUGCAUUAAUGCCACAGUUUAGAUGCACCCCUAGUAUCUGAGGGAACCAUGUAAACUGCAUUGGACACCUCUGACUGAAGCAGCAAUGUAAUAUGUAGAUUUACAUUAAAUGAAAAGGAAAGUAUACAGGGAUAUAGGAAUAAAUCCUUAGUAGGCAUACCAGAAGGAAAUACAUGCUCUCCCUGUUUAGUUGUGGUGGUUUAAAACAAAAUCUUUGGGCAAGGCCAAGAGAGAAGUGAAACAAAUUUUCCAUUACAUACAGAGAAAAACAAUAAUACAAUAGAUAUGAUUUCCUAAAUGAAAAAAUAAAAUAAAUCCACUUAUGGUGAGGCAGUGCCAUGGUAACUAGACUGAAGCUUGGGAAGUUAACUCUGGCAACUCAUGUAGAAAGGCUGGUAAUAACACUUGUUUCUAUGACAACCGGGGGAUGAUGCAGAGUUGGUAUUAACCUUUUGGCUGGAAGACUCAGUCCGUCCACGCUGGAGUGUACAUAAGUGGGUUAGCCAGUAUACUGGAAAAAAGUUUCCGGAACUGAAAUUUCUACAUGACCAAAGGAAACAAUGAACGACAUAGUCAAUCCCCUUAAGGAAGGGCAUAUCUGAUAUCAUCAGCUCUUCAGCAACCACAAAUGGCUGCAGAACAGAGGGAAGAGCAGUUCCUGCAGAGGGAAGAUCUUCAUCUUAGGAAGGCACAAGCACAAAGAGACACCUUUCAGCAUGCUUCACCAUGAACCCAGCUGGGUUGUCAGUCGCAAAUACUCGAUUCAGUGAAAUGACAAGCACCACAGGGACGCCUAUAUUCAGCUCAGAAGAAAACCUUCAGUAAAUAGUUCAUAUCUGAGAACGCAUCUGUGCAUCAAUCUGCAACAAUUCAGACACCUGAUGGAGUCAACACGUGCUCACAAAAAAUGUCUGCCACAACAACUCUGUAGUGUUUAAAUUAGGCUCCAGGAGAAAUACUGUGCAAGGGGAAGAAAUUGGGUUCUAUGACCUCCCCACGACCUGGGACCCCAACAAGACACAGAUCACAAUGAAAGGUCAGGCGAGGCCAAAACGUCAUUACAUGUUCAGCACAGAGUCAAGUGUAUGCCAAGAUGGGCAAAGGAACAAAGAAACCAAUAAUAGUUUUAUAUCUUCCUUCUGCAUUCACCACCCAUUAAUAAAAUUACCAGACUUAUAUUUCUUAAGAAUCUUUCAGAAAUGUCCAGUAAGCCUCUCAUUACAUGACACUAAUUUAUGCACAUUUUGAAAAAUCAUAUAAAAGUGCAUGUGCCACCAUGGGGUCCUGCCUAUUAUAUGCUCCUCGUCAUGUGUAUUAUACUUUAGGUUCUCAGAUUUGUUUAACUCAAACCGGUAAUGAUUAUUAGAAAGUUGCAUUUAGA